rnacentral:rRNA from 1 species
CCUUACCCACCUUUGACAUGUACGGAAUCCUUUAGAGAUAGAGGAGUGCUCGAAAGAGAACCGUAACACAGGUGCUGCAUGGCUGUCGUCAGCUCGUGUCGUGAGAUGUUGGGUUAAGUCCCGCAACGAGCGCAACCCUUGUCAUUAGUUGCUACAUUUAGUUGGGCACUCUAAUGAGACUGCCGGUGACAAACCGGAGGAAGGUGGGGAUGACGUCAAGUCCUCAUGGCCCUUAUAGGUGGGGCUACACACGUCAUACAAUGGAUGGUACAAAGGGUCGCCAACCCGCGAGGGGGUGCCAAUCCCAUAAAGCCAUUCGUAGUCCGGAUCGCAGUCUGCAACUCGACUGCGUGAAGUCGGAAUCGCUAGUAAUCGUGGAUCAGAAUGUCACGGUGAAUACGUUCCCGGGUCUUGUACACACCGCCCGUCACACCAUGGGAGCGGGUUCUGCCAGAAGUAGUUAGCCUAACCGCAAGGAGGGCGAUUACCACGGCAGGGUUCGUGACUGGGGUGAAGUCGUAAUCAAGGUAACCGUA